UUGUAUUUCAGCAGUUCAGCAUCAGCAUUACCUCAGCUGAAGUCACAGAUUGAUUCUUGGGAAACAUUUAUUUCGAGUAUUAAGAAACAAAUGGAAGAAGUAGAGGCUCAGUAUGAAGAAAAAAUUCAAAUGGUGAAAAAUGGUGCAAAAAACUGCCUCACUAAGAUGCAAGCCUACGAUCUUUCAUCUCCUCCCAGUGUCUU